rnacentral:rRNA from 1 species
CAGCCGCCGCGGGAAUACGUAGGGUGCAAGCGUUAAUCGGAAUUACUGGGCGUAAAGCGUGCGCAGGCGGUUAUAUAAGACAGAUGUGAAAUUCCCGGGCUCAACCUGGGAACUGCAUUUGUGACUGUAUAGCUAGAGUACGGCAGAGGGGUAUGGAAUUCCGCGUGUAGCAGUGAAAUGCGUAGAUAUGCGGAGGAACACCGAUGGCGAAGGCAAUCCCCUGGGCCUGUACUGACGCUCAUGCACGAAAGCGUGGGGAGCAAACAGGAUUAGAGACCCCAGUAGUCCCUGUCUCUUAUAC